CGCCGCCAUGUCCCACGUGCCCCGAGUUUCCUGGGCGGCCAUCUUGGUUAGGGGCAGAGGGCGCCCGAACCUUUUGCGAGACUCCGGAAAAUAAAAGGGGCAGGGUAACAGACUAAAGGCGGAUCCCAGGACAGACUGUGUGAACAGCUCCCAGCAGCCGAGACACACAGGAGGACAGCACAGCAUCCUGGCCUGCCUCCACUGAUCUCGGGGUGUGGCCUUCAAGAGAAUUCGGGCACUGGGGUGGAGCCCACCCAUGUCAGAGGCAGAAACUGGGAGCAGUGAGGGACCCUGCAGCCAUGUGUGGACCUGGCCUCUGCACACCCCCCCCCCAUGCGCAGUGCCGGGAAGAGCCUUUCAGGAAGGUGGACUCCAAGGAGCUGGCCCUUCCCGGGAAGCUGGGCUCUUAACCCCGUCGAGGGGCCACAGGCAUGGAAGACGGUGGAAACGCUUUCCAGUACUGGGGGAGAGCAGUGGGCGGAACCGCCAGCCACGCAAGCCCCGGCCAGGGACAGACACUCCCACGUCGAGGGUUCACAGCGAUCCCCGUUUUCAUCGAGCCUGGCUGCAGGACCCUGUUCUGGGGACCUGCGGCACUGGCCCUUGUGCAGACUUCACUUUUCAGAGCUGAACGUGACGCUCAAGGUCUCUCGCACCUGCACUGAGCUCCUCGUCCAUGCUCCUGUCCACACUCCGCCAGAGGUCCGUUUUCCUUGUUGGUGCGUCGUGUCGGUGCCCAGUGGUGGGUUCUUUUCGACAUGACCACACAUGCCUGGAGUUCAGUUUACUGUUUCAGGUCCCAGUGACCCCAACCGCCCUCUUCCCCGACUGUGCUGCCCACCGUCCACUCAUUUACUGGCUGGGUUGUGUUGGUGCUUUGUAGAUGCCCGUGAAGGAGGUCCAUUUAUACACGCACAGCGCCAUCUGUUGAACGCUUUCCACAUUCUCCACUCACCUGCGCACCACCCAGCCGCCCUCUUCCCUGUGAUUUCCUGUCCCCUGCCUGUCCCCUUGUCUUGCUCCAGCUGGCACACGUGAGAAAACACUGGGCCCUGGCCUGUCUCAGCCUGGCUUAUUUCACUUAGCAUCAUGUCCUCCAGUUCCUCCCAUCGACUGCCAAACGCCAUGACUUAAUUCUUUUGGCUGAGUAGAGAAUCAUCUGUGCCACAUUUUCUUUAUCCAUUCAUCUGUUGAUGGCCACCUGGGCGGGUUCCAUAGCUUGGCUACUGUGAAUCGUGCUGCUAUAAACACUGAGGUGGCUGCGUCAUGAUAGGGUGCUGAUUCUGGUUCUUUUGAUGAAUACCAAGGAGUGGCAUAGCUGGGUCACAUGGUAGUUCCGUUCCUAGUUCUUUGAGGACUCUUCAUUCUGCUUUCCAGAGUGGCUGCACUGAUUUGCAGUCCCACUAACAAUGAACAACUGUAAAUUUCCCCCAUAUCCUUGCCAGCGUUUAUUAUUAAUUGUGUUCUUGAAGAGUGCCAUUCUACCACAGUGACAUGGAAUCUCAAUGUAGUUUUUUUUUUUUUUUUUGGUACCCAGGGCACUCAGGCACUGAGCCACAUCCCCAGCCAUUGUUUAUGUUUUAUUUACAGACAGGGCCUUGCCAAGUUCCUGAGGCUGGCUUUGAACUCAUGAUCUUUUAACCCCUGUCUUUGAUCCACUGUGACAUGACUUUCCAGAGGGUCCAUCUUCACAGUUCAUGAGCUCUGCUGUCACUUCGUUAUCCACGAGGAGGCCAUAGUUGUAUAAGGGUUCAUCUUGUGUCAUAUGUCUAUGAGUUUGACAAACAAAUAACAGGUUGUUGCGACAAUGAUCCUGGAGACAACCCAACUCCCCUGGUUACCCCUCCUAUCAACCUGCUGUCAAGUGCUGUUGGUGAAGCUGCAGAACAGAGCAGGCACCACUGCGAGGAUCCUCAUCCUUCCUGGGUUGUGCCUGUCAGCCUCCCAGCCUCCCUCCCAACCUCCCUUCUAGCCUCCCACUCUUUGCCUCUGGAUUUCUGCAGCGGCUGCCCACCCCAGGUCUCUUGCUCUGCAAGGUCUGUUCUCCCCACAGGUGUUAGAGGGCACUCCAGCGCCUGACGUGCAUGUCCCUGCUCUGUUCCCAGUCCUCUCUGGGCAUCAAAAUACAUUGUCGAGUGGGGUGGGGUUGGGGCUCAGUGGUAGAGCGCUCGCCAAGCAUGUGCAAGGCCCUGGGUUCCAUUUGUUAGACCAGGACGCAAGAAAAGACCACUGACUCCAAUUAAAAUCAAAUUAAAGCCAGCUUAUUAUUUCAGCUGGCCGGGCUGCCUCUCCCAACAAGAACCUUGGGGACAGGAGCCCUGCAGUUUCCUGCAGCCCAGCUUUAUAGCCCAGAAAGUUACACACGGGUGUGUGUGUGUGUGUGUGUGUGUGUGUGUGUGUGUGUGUGUGAUAGAUGACAAAACU